rnacentral:rRNA from 1 species
AUUGAACGCUGGCGGCAGGCCUAACACAUGCAAGUCGAACGGUAACAGGGAUCAGCUUGCUGAUUCGCUGACGAGUGGCGGGCGGGUGAGUAAUGUCUGGGAAACUGCCUGAUGGAGGGGGAUAACUACUGGAAACGGUAGCUAAUACCGCAUAACGUCGCAAGACCAAAGAGGGGGACCUUCGGGCCUCUUGCCAUCGGAUGUGCCCAGAUGGGAUUAGCUAGUAGGUGGGGUAACGGCUCACCUAGGCGACGAUCCCUAGCUGGUCUGAGAGGAUGACCAGCCACACUGGAACUGAGACACGGUCCAGACUCCUACGGGAGGCAGCAGUGGGGAAUAUUGCACAAUGGGCGCAAGCCUGAUGCAGCCAUGCCGCGUGUAUGAAGAAGGCCUUCGGGUUGUAAAGUACUUUCAGCGGGGAGGAAGGGAGUAAAGUUAAUACCUUUGCUCAUUGACGUUACCCGCAGAAGAAGCACCGGCUAACUCCGUG